UACAGAGGUCUCAACCGUUGUUCGGAUUCAUUGGGCGUAAAGGGUGCGUAGGCGGUCGUGCAAGUCGGAUGUGAAAUCUCAGGGCUCAACCCUGAAACUGCAUUCGAUACUGCGGCGCUUGAGGACUGGAGAGGAGACUGGAAUUCAUGGUGUAGCAGUGAAAUGCGUAGAGAUCAUGAGGAACACCGGUGGCGAAGGCGAGUCCCUGGACAACACCUGACACUGAGGCACGAAAGCUAGGGGAGCAAACAGG
rnacentral:rRNA from 1 species